rnacentral:rRNA from 1 species
UACGUAGGAAGCGAGCGUUGUCCGGAUUCAUUGGGCGUAAAGAGCGUGUAGGCGGCCAGGUAGGUCGGUUGUGAAAACUGGAGGCUCAACCUUCAGAGGUCGACCGAAACCAUCUGGCUAGAGUCCGGGAGAGGAGAGUGGAAUUCCUGGUGUAGCGGUGAAAUGCGCAGAUAUCAGGAAGAACACCCGUGGCGAAAGCGGCUCUCUGGAACGGUACUGACGCUGAGACGCGAAAGCGUGGGGAGCGAACAGG